GUCAUAAUGUCAAUCCUUUUGAAAUGGGGAAUACUCCUACCUCUCCUGGCUUUGCCCUGCUUCCCGAUGAAGCCCAGACCAGCCUGGUAGAAAUGCCCCCAUUGCCUCCUCUUCCUCCAAUUCAAUGGAGGAUGGGGAAACUACAGGCUUCACCGGAUUUGGACGGGGAUCCAACACAGCAUUAUAUAGGUGCCAAUCCAUCGAGUCUGGCAUCUAGGACUGAUCAGGAUCCUCGAACUGUGAAUCAAAACAUGCUGUCAGCU
rnacentral:misc_RNA from 1 species